UGCGUAGGCGGAUUGAUAAGUCAGUGGUGAAAACCUUCAGCUUAACUGGAGACUUGCCAUUGAUACUGUUAGUCUUGAGUACGGUCAAGGUAGGCGGAAUGUGUAAUGUAGCGGUGAAAUGCUUAGAUAUUACACAGAGCACCGAUUGCGAAGGCAGCUUACUGGGCCAUUACUGACGCUGAGGCACGAAAGCGUGGGGAGCGAACAGGAUUAGAUACCCUGGUAGUCC
rnacentral:rRNA from 1 species